UCUAUUAAUAACUAUUUGUGC
rnacentral:piRNA from 1 species